rnacentral:rRNA from 1 species
GAUGAACGCUGGCGGCGUGCCUAAUACAUGCAAGUCGAGCGAACAGACGAGGAGCUUGCUCCUCUGACGUUAGCGGCGGACGGGUGAGUAACACGUGGAUAACCUACCUAUAAGACUGGGAUAACUUCGGGAAACCGGAGCUAAUACCGGAUAAUAUAUUGAACCGCAUGGUUCAAUAGUGAAAGACGGUUUUGCUGUCACUUAUAGAUGGAUCCGCGCCGCAGUAGCUAGUUGGUAAGGUAACGGCUUACCAAGGCGACGAUGCGUAGCCGACCUGAGAGGGUGAUCGGCCACACUGGAACUGAGACGCGGUCCAGACUCCUACGGGAGGCAGCAGUAGGGAAUCUUCCGCAAUGGGCGAAAGCCUGACGGAGCAACGCCGCGUGAGUGAUGAAGGUCUUCGGAUCGUAAAACUCUGUUAUUAGGGAAGAACAAAUGUGUAAGUAACUAUGCACGUCUUGACGGUACCUAAUCAGAAAGCCACGGCUAACUACGUG